GUGGGUGUGUGUGACCGUGAGAACAAGACCAAGGGGGAAACCCUAUUUCUUCAAAAUCUUGCAAAUUAAAGGAGAAAAGGGCUAAAUUUUGAAUGCAUGAACUAAGAAUGAUGAUCAUCUAAGCAUACCCAACAUCAAGUGAUUUAGAACAAUAUGCAUAUGGCUAGAGUGACAAAUUGUGAGGAACGUGUCAAGGAGAGGUCAAGCAUAGGAGGAUAACGGGUCAAGAUAAGGCAAGGUGACAAAUACACUUAUUGGAGUACUCGAGGUAUGGGAUCGUUGGCUUCAUGAAAAAAAUGGAGCUGGAUUUGGAUAAGAGUAUUUAAGAAAGCGCUUGGACAAUUCCACGACUACUUUAUAGAAUGCUCUACGAAAUUUUAUUAUAUAGUUUAAUGUUGAAUGGUAUGUUAAUGACUAAUGGUUUGGUUGUACGUGGUGUCCACAGGUAUCGCUUGGGUUUUCUCUACAUUUAUUGAAGUGAAGCGGACUUAGUUCGAGUUGAGAGCAAGGAUUGUACGGGGUAGAAUGGUCACAUAGUGUAACUCAUAUAGGUUUUGAAGUAUUAAUGUUAUAAAACGUUAUAAAUCCGUUUUAAUGAAUAUAUGGCAUUUCGCACUUGAACCUUCAUGUGUUUGAUAUGUCUAUUAAAGAACGAAAUUUUUGG
rnacentral:lncRNA from 1 species